ACGACAGAGCCCAAAAUAGAACCAGAAGAUGAGUCAUGAUGUUCAGGAAGGAUUUCAAAACAAAUGGACCUAUUUACUUGUGCAUCUGUCUCCCGAAGCUGGUACUGUUUUACAAUGGUAUUAUUGAUUUGUUCUCAUUAUCUGCAUCUGAGAGAUUGACCAGUGGAGCAGGAAAUAUCUUGUACCUGGCUUGGGAUUUUAGCUGAAGACCUUUAUCAUCCUGAAACAAGAGGGAAGUCAGGGACAUGGCCGGUUCUCAAGAGCCCAG